ACCCCGGCACAGCUGUAUCGCUGGAAGUGGGGUCUGCAGUGCUGAUGGUGGCGGUUGGAGUGCUUGGAGUCCUCAGCGAGCACUAGGCGCAUCGAUUGGCGGAGGUACUCAGUUGGAGUGCCAGUGUUCCGUCACAAACACUUUUACUGACACUAUCACUGACACUAACACUAUUACUGACACUAAUACUAUUACUGACACUAACACUAUCACUGAC